AAUUGUGGCGGUUUCCAUUUCGAUUACAGUUUCGUCAGACACGUCGAAAGAAACUUAGUAAUAUUUCACUUCCACGUUGGGGCGCUUUUUGUCGUGAGAUAGGAUUUCUCCUAGCUGCGGAAUACCAGGUUCUAUUGUGACCAGGGUAAUUAUCGGAAGGGAUACUUGGUCUUUCGUUGUUGCUUCUUUUUAAUGUUAGGCUACAUUACAGCUCUACCCUAACUACUAACAAGUAUAUUCCUCGCUGAUUUAGUAAACAAUGUGUGCACAAUAGUUUUCUAAAUGUUGAUCCGUUUUGCAAUUUGUUUGACUGACCUACAAUACUUUUAAGUUGAUCUCAUUUCCCCCAUCGGCUAAGAUUGCGCAAUCAAGUCAAGUAAACCAACACAAAAAAUGUGGUGAAAGGGAAAAGAAAAAUUUUUCUGACACAUGCCGCAGAUGAUGGAAGACAAGGAAACGUAUAUGCCAGGACAAUGACCCAAAUGCGGAAGAGACGGAGAGGAGGAGUCAUGCGUUUAAAUAAAAACUUUGGUAUAUAUAAGACAGAGUUAUUAGUUGUGUUCUGACUGUUCUACGACAUCGUUUACCUGACAAACAUGAAGAUUUUCAUCAUCACUGCUGCCAUCAUAAGUAGUUUCGGGGCAACCACCCUAUCAUGAACCUACAGAUUACGUUCCUUACCAACUGUUAAACGAAUACGAUAGACCACAGUAUCCAGCACCAUCUUACAAGCCUGAAUACCUAGCUCCAGCUUACACAGCGAAUUACGAAGCUCCAGCAUACAAACCUUCGUACCCUGUGCAAACCCAUAAACCCUACCGAGAAGUACCGGUUUAUAAACCUGUUUCUUCGGCACCGAAGUACCCUUCCUUUGCGUCACCAUAUUCAGUCAAAUACUAAUAAAUGUUUUAAUAUAUAAAACCCAUUCAUACUGUAGAUUCCCUUUAUCAAUUAAAAUAAAUGAAAAAACGCUGUAAAACUCAAAA